GCCCCAGUACCCUCGGGCGGGCCCGGCGCGGCCCCCCGGGAAGGUGCUGGGUUCCCCCGGGCAACGCUCGCGGACGGCUCGGGUCGGUGCCCGGGAGCCGGCCGCGGUGUGCACUCGCCCGCAGACUCGGUCCGCCUCCCAGCGUCUCCUCCGGGUUUAUUCCCGGCCGCAGCUGCCGCUUCGGCGCACACACACAUUCACGCAGCAACACGCAAAUUCAUUCUUGUCACUCCCGGGGACCUGAGGAACCCGCGCGGAGAGUCUUUGCUCCAGCCCUGCGAGGCACUGUUGUAUCCAGUUUAGAGAACGCUCUACUUACCAGAGAUCUCGAAGUGCCCCGGUGGUGAUGAGAUUGAACCCAAAGCCCUGAGAAAAGCCUCACUGAGCAGUGUCAAAGCUGUAGGACUGAAGACCCUGGCUUUUUGCUAGCUGACAACUGACGACUGCCCUCAGCUCCUAGAGUGCACCUGGAGUUCAUUGUCACGUGCCCUUUCUCAGCGUGGCCACUGACUUCAUCGAACCAGCACGGAGUCCCUGGAACCUAUGGCCAUACAUUCACUUAGGACACGUACCUAAAGAAGUUCAUUAGAACCUGAUGUGCUGGCCACAGAUUUUAGCUGAUCAUCUAAAAACGACUCUCUAAGUUCAGAAGAGUAUAGGCCAUUUAUUGUCGUACGGCAUCAUUCAGUUUGGGUUCGUCUGGUGUUUCUUCACAGUAAGAUCCAGUAAGUAGGCAACAUGUCCAGCGUGGGGCUUGAACUCACUACCCUGAGAUCAAGAGUCGAAUGCUCUUCCGACUGAGCCACCCAGGUGCCCCUCCUCACACGAUUUUGAAGAAGCAUGUUCGUAUGGGUGCCGGAUAAAGCUGGAAUGGGCCUCAAGCCCAAGCCGAAACUGACCCCCAAAUACAGACACUUGUUAAUUGAGGAGCAGAAGAGUAUGCAGUCAGUUUUAAAGCAGCAAAAAUUAGGAAGAGGGCCAACGUCUCCGAAGCGCCUUUGCUGAUUCCUCAUAAUACAUGCAAAGGAACAGUAAGCAAGCACGAAGGCUUUCGAAAGGAGAAGCUUCCUCUCGGCGGUGAGAAACAACGGUCCUGCAGCUCCCAAGACGACGCACCUGCCGGGGACGGGGGAGAGUAAAGCUCGGAGUUCUGCAAGACGUUCCAACUGGAGAGCCCAGCCCUGGUGUUCAGAACACUUACAUCUGCGGCCAACGCCCAUCUGCUCCUGGGAGGACGGGAGCACAACAAAUACUAAUCUCAACUGAAAAUGCUGCUUCGCCAGAAAGAAUUCCAAAAGAAUCCAAAGUGGAUUUCAGAAAUUUCUUGUCUCCUCUGUAAAGAAUGGGUUUUGAGAAAUGUCUAAUGCUAUUUCUGAAUGAAAGCUAGCCAGUACAACAACGUGCGCGAUUUCUAUUUAUUCUCUGACUACAGGGAAACCAAAUCCAAAAACAAACUUUUCUUGGCAUCCUUGGCAUUUCUGGGAAAUAAAAAUCUCAUUGGAAUGAAAACUGAAACCUACCUACCUCGAAGGUUGGUUGCGAGAUCAAAAAAAUAUAUGAAAGUGCCUUGUAAAUAAUAAACGUAUGUAUAAGUAUUAAUUGUAUUUUCAUUAUUUUCCCUUUUCUCCGAUGUUUUUACUAUUUAUAUUGUUUUCUUUCAAAAGGCAAUUGAGACCUUUACGAAAGCGUCUGCUUCUACUCAUUUCAGUUUCUCUGGACAAUAGCCUAAGUCCAAAUUCAGAAAAAAAAAAAAAAAAGUAUGUCUUUGUUCUCCCAAAAACAUCCUCAUAACAAUACAUUUGUAAAACCUGAAGUUUAUUCCUGUUUGGGGUGUAAAAAUAUCAGGGAUAUGCUUUUUUUUUUUAAAGAUUUUAUUUAUUUAUUUGACAGAGAUAGAGACAGCCAGCGAGAGAGGGAACACAAGC